rnacentral:rRNA from 1 species
AUGAGCAGGAAGGCGGUGGAGCUGCACUGGGGCAAGCACCACCCGCUGUAUGGCCACACCCUCGAGGACCUCAUCAAGGAGGCUUACAACAACAACAACCCACUAUCCGAGAGCAACGAUGCGGUCGAGGAAUCGAAGCAGCCGGAAGGCGGUGGCUCUCCCGAGGCAGGUGCGCUGCAGCAGAUCGAGAAGGAUUUCGGCUCCUUUAAUUUUAGGGAGGAGUUCAUGCGCUCGGCAUUGUCAUUGUUGGGGUCCGGUUGGAUUUGGCUUGUCUGUAAAAGCGAGAGGAAACUCAUAGUGGUUCAGGCGCAAAAUGCUAUCAACCCACUUGACUUGCUUGACGUUUGGGCCUCACUUGCUAGUAUACAUGCAUGCUAUUCUUGGGAGUUUUUCCUAGACACAAAUCCCGCUUAUGUCCACUGUUUUAUGGAAGAAAAGCUCCUUCUUAAGUUGCCUAUUCAUUUACCACAAGUUGCCUAA